UGCCUUAUGUGUUACCUGUUCAUUGCUGUUCAGAUGAAUAUGGUGUCAACUAGGGCAGACAUUAAUGCAUGAGGUGGCUGCUGAAAGGCGUUUACAUCUGUGCCUUUCAAAAGUGUCACGUUAUGGACAUUA
ensembl:snoRNA